rnacentral:tRNA from 1 species
AGAUCCCACCCAGAUUUGAAUUCGGAUUGCUGGAUUCAGAGUCCAAAGUGCUAACCAUUACACCAUGGGGCUC